rnacentral:rRNA from 1 species
CAGUUUAACGGCCGCGGUACCCUAACCGUGCGAAGGUAGCAUAAUCACUUGUUUCUUAAAUAGAGACUAGUAUCAACGGCAUCACGAAGACUAUACUGUCUCCCCCCUAAAAUCAAUGAAACUGAUCUCCUCGUGAAGAAGCGAGGAUACACAUAUAAGACGAGAAGACCCCAUGGAGCUUUAAACAAACUUCAAUUGUUCCUACCCAUAACACACAAAUUGAACACCCCUGACAGUUAGUUUUAGGUUGGGGUGACCGCGGAGUAAAACAAAACCUCCACAAUGAAUGUAAUAAAAUUCUUAUAAAAGAAUCACAAUUCUAAUAAUCAAAAAUUUGACAUAAAUUGACCCAAACACUUGAUCAAUGAACCAAGUUACCCUGGGGAUAACAGCGCAAUCCAUUUUAAGAGCCCAUAUCGACAAAUGGGUUUACGACCUCGAUGUUG